rnacentral:lncRNA from 1 species
UAAAUGAGCCUGCAACACACAUUUAAAUAGUAACUGCAGUGAUCAUUUGUCACAAACAACACUGUUAAGUCUGAGAAAUAGCUGCAGCAAUUAGGGAAAUGGAUAUCACAUUGAUAAAGCCAUGUCUCAUAGUCAAGUAGUCCACUUUUGUUACUGAUCCAAAAAACUGCCUAAAAAACGCCACCUAUAUUACAAACAAAAGUAAGAUCACUCGUAUUUAUUAUGCAGAUUAGAUAUCAAUCUCAUUACUGUUGCGAUAAAAGGGAUGCAGAACCUCAAGAACAAGAAAGAGAAUCUUACUAUCCAUCUAACUCCAGGGGUGCUUGAGAGGCCAACAUGCCGCUUUACAAAUG